rnacentral:tRNA from 2 species
GGGAUUGUAGUUCAAUUGGUA